GACCGGGCAGGUGGGGACCGGGCUCAGUGUCAUGCCACACAUGGGGCCUGGACUAGGUGUGGGUCCAGGAGAGGAGAGCGUUGCGGCCCAAGAAUCAGGGAGGAAUAAAAUGAGAGUAAAGUUCCUGCUGUGUAAGGAGGAGCUUGGAAGUAUUUACACGGCAUUGGAUACAGGAAGACGGGAAUCCACAGGGAAUGCAGAAGUCGCACUCGUGACAGGAAGAAGGAGACUCGGAGCGGAGUGCUCUGUCCAGGGCAGCAGAGAGUUAUUCCUUGGGGACUGAUGAGCUCAUCGCUCUGCAGCAUGCUGCUGUGCAGAGGGCCCCGCAGCUAGAGUUGUAUGCUGCUUCUCCAGGGUUAAAUGGCACCACAAGAGGCAGG